AACGUAGGACGCAAGCGUUAUCCGGAGUUACUGGGCGUAAAGCGCGUGCAGGCGGCUCGAUGCGUCUGAUGUGAAAUCUCCUCGCUCAACGGGGAGAGGCCAUUGGAAACGGUCGGGCUGGAGGGCAGUAGAGGCAGGCGGAAUUCCGGGUGGAGUGGUGAAAUGCGUAGAGAUCCGUAGGAACACCAGAGGCGAAGGCGGCCUGCUGGGCUGCACCUGACGCUGAACCGCGAAAGCCAGGGGAGCGAACGGG
rnacentral:rRNA from 1 species